rnacentral:lncRNA from 1 species
GGGUGACACGCAGCUCACCGGUUCCUGCGAGGACAGACACGUCCUCUGUUACAGGGAUCUAAUCGGUUACAUAAAGAAUCUAGACAGGAGGCCCCUGAUCAGGCUGAAUUUGGCAAAGAAGGAAGGACAGUCUCCUGAAGAUAUCUCACGGCCCUGAAAAUCCCGUGGGCUGCUGGAAGCCGUGGCUACAUCAUUUGAUCGGCUGUUUGACAGGGUCCAGCCGAUUAACGCCGAGGGGUGCAGGGUCGCCCCUUGGUGAAGAAUAACCUGCCAGCCCCUCACAUAGUUCUGAAACCUGUGCUGCUUCUAAUUGCCCUUCAUUCCUUUUCCUUUCUUAACCUCCAGUUUUCACUCCUUUGGGUGGCUGCUUGGGAGGCACAACCUCCUGGGAAAAUUAGAUAUAGUAAGAGAAUGUGACCACCUGCAGGUAACUUUCAAGAUAUUUUUCAGUUAAUUAAUGGAGGAGCACACAGUCCCAUUUGAGACAAUCAGAAAGGAAUCCUGCCCAGAUAAGAU